GGGGUGAUGGGUUUUGUCUGGUCUGAUGGAGCAACAGGGAGUGAUGGGUUAUGUAUGGUCUGAUGGAGCAACAGGGGGUAAUGGGUUUUGUCUGGUCUGAUGGAGCAACAGGGAGUGAUGGGUUUUGUCUGGUCUGAUGGAGCAACAGGGGGUGAUGGGUUUUGUCUGGUCUGAUGGAGCAACAGGGGUGAUGGGCUUUGUCUGGUCUGAUGGAGCAACAGGGAGUGAUGGGUUUUGUCUGGUCUGAUGGAGCAACAGGGGGUGAUGGGUUUUGUCUGGUCUGAUGGAGCAACAGGGAGUGAUGGGCUUUGUCUGGUCUGAUGGAGCAACAGGGGGUGAUGGGCUUUGUCUGGUCUGAUGGAGCAACAGGGUGAUGGGUUUUGUCUGGUCUGAUGGAGCAACAGGGGGUGAUGGGCUUUGUCUGGUCUGAUGGAGCAACAGGGAGUGAUGGGUUAUGUCUGGUCUGAUGGAGCAACAGGGAGUGAUGGGUUUUGUCUGGUCUGAUGGAGCAACAGGGGGUGAUGGGUUUUGUCUGGUCUGAUGGAGCAACAGGGAGUGAUGGGUUAUGUCUGGUCUGAUGGAGCAACAGGGUGAUGGACUGUCUUUGUGCCUCCUGGGAAAACAGGUUGUAGCUGAAUACUGUAGUACGAUAGUUCACCAGGGUUUCUGCUGAAACAGAACACAUCCAUCUAAAUCAGAGGAUAGAUAGCAGAAGAGAUUACCCAGACUGAAGCACCAAGUUAAGCGUCUUCAUUUUUGUUAUGCUGAAAAUUGGAUUAGAUUGUGCACCAAACUGAAGUUAGGGUUAGGAUUAGACUGUGUUACAAUACCAACUAAAUAGUUCAAUGAUAUUAUUUUGUAUUUUAUUUUGUAAUGGAGAAAUGUACAUUCCACUGUCUUAUUUAAUAGACACAAUUUGUUUUUAUUUUGUCUUGAAUUUAAUCUGCAGUAUUUAUGCGAGACCAUAUUGUAAUUGUGUUCGUAGAACAUAACAUAUUAUAGUGCAUUGCAUUUAGAUCUCUAUCUUUAUACUUGAAGGAUGUUCAUCAUAGUACAGGAAAUGGGCUAUUAUUUUGUUGUUUUAAAAAAAAACGAAUUUAUGCUUUUAUUUUUAGAUGUAAUUUUGUUAUCUGGCAGAUGUGAUGAAUUUAAGGUACUUUGAAUCAACAUAAUCUCACAGUUUUCUGGUGUACUUUUAUUCACAAAUGAUCAGUGAUCUGCUGCAUGAAGGGGCUAGACUACAAGGGGUUAAAUAGGCUACAGCAGGGCUCCCCAACUGGCGGCUCGCGGUUCAUUUUACUUGGCCACCCAGGUUUUCCACAUCAACAAAAAUAUAUAUUUAUAUACACUACCGAUCAAAAGUUUGGACACACCUACUCAUUCAAGGGUUUUUCUUCAUUUUUACUAUUUUUUACAUUGUAGAAUAAUAGUGAAGACAUCGAAACUAUGAAAUAACACAUAUGGGAUCAUGUAGU
ensembl:lncRNA